rnacentral:snoRNA from 1 species
AGACCGUGAUGGGGACACUUGGUAAUAGCUCCUUGAACCUUUCCCAAGUUUCAUAUAAGGAUUCCCCGUCCUCUUGUGAGUAUGUAUUAAUUUCAGCCAUUAAUUU